CUCAUGAUGGUUGAGGUGAACAAGGCAGCGUGCUUGAUGACCACGUAGUUGUCUUGCUCGUCAUAGUCUAUGCCUAGCUCGUUCAGGAAAAGAUGUGCCGGCUUCCUCACAACCAUGGCUGAGAAGAGUUGUCCACCUAGCCAGGCACCUCCACCAGGGCUCACUGAUUGCUCAAGUAUGGCCACCUACACAAACCAAGUAAAUUCACAUAAACAACUUAUAACAAGUACAAAUUGGAGAAAAUAGGUAUUGUAAUCAGCAACUAUAAUCUAAUCAAGAACACUUAGCAGUUAGAACAUUGAAUGACUUCCCUGUGAUCAUGAAUGCGUGUACCAGCCAGAGGCAGAUCUAGGAUAAAUUAGGUGUGCUCAAUUAAAUUCAUUGCUAUUUAUAUAUAUAUAUGAUAACCGGGGUGGAGUUUCAAGCCAAACGCCGAACCCAAUAGCUUUUGUUCAAACAGUGUAUUUGAAGUUUAAAAUUCAUCAAAUAUAUGUACAAAUAUUAAAUUUAGAAUCUAGUCGCUAACAUGUGAAGUCGUGUACUAAAAUCCAAAACCCAUAAGAUUGUAAUUAUUGUUCUACCUAUGUAUGCAAACCAAUUUUGAACUUACUUAACUCUAGAUCAUAAAUUGAGGAUAAGAUUAUCACAAAAGCAGUUUCACUGGUUCACAAGUAUAUAAACAACUUUUUUUUUUUAGCAGAGAAAGAGUAUUAUCUUAUUUAAACCAUAGUCUUAAGAUUAAACAUAAACUGGUAGAAGCAGAACCAAUACCAAUUACAGCACAACCCUAGAACUAGACCCACAGUAAGCAAGCAGUAACUGAUAGAUUAAAAUUAAAAACAAAGCCAAAAACGGCGACUUAAAUAUAGAUAAACUAGAUCAUCAUCAACGUCCUCACAUCUAGCAGAGUUGACCACAGUCAGCAAUCACAACAGGCUUGGAGCACCUGCCAGAUCCAGAUCCAACAGCCUCAGCCUUCUUAAUCACAUCAUAGCCUUCAACAACUUGACCGAACACAACAUGCUUGCCAUCGAGCCACUCAGUCUUAGCGGUGCAGAUAUAUAUAAACAACUUUCGCUAAUAAACAUGUGAUUUUUUCUCGCUCAAGUUGCACGAGGCCUAAGGAAAAAGGUGUCACAUGAUUUGUAGGUACGAGUAAACCUUCAAGUACCUUUAAUAAGAAGCCCGUGUUUUUUUUUCCUCUCAGCUACCAAGUCUUAUAUGAAUUUUCUUUUAUACUUUUCAAUUUAGUAGAAAUACAAGCGAAGCCGGAAAAUAAAUUCCAAGAUUUCCAUCUUUCCGCUAUUAGAAUUUAAUUGAAAAUAUCCAUUAGGCACACGUCACAGGUGCCAGUUCUUCUACACAACAAAAGCCUGAGUAUUUAAAUGAAAAAUUAUAGGGAAAGCUAAUCUGGGGCUAAAUGGUUUUGUGAGUCUUUACAAAUUUGUUUUUCAAUUUUAUGACCUUAUCUUUCUAUUUCAGUACGAGGUCUAAAAAAGAUACUUUCUUAACGUAAAGGGCUAUGAUAGCCCAUUUUCCCGCUGAUUUGAACCGUAUGUCACUUCUGUUAGUAUUUCCUUACCAUAAAAUAUUUUAAACUUAAUUGACAAAAUAAACACAAGCCAAUAUUUGAUCUUUCGUGACUUUUGUCUUUUUCUAUCACAAUACUGCCAGACACAUAUAUUAGAGCAUUCUGCAGCAGGCCUAGAUUUAUCUCAUCUUAAAUUUGGAAAAAAAUAAAUAGACACAAAUGAAAAGAAAAAGGAUACCUGAACGUUAGGGUUCUUGCUGAUCUCAUAAGCACAAGAGAGACCAGCAGAGCCAGCGCCAACGAUGACAACAUCAGUGUCAGCAUAGGUGAUCAUGUCAGUCAUGUACCUACGUGUCAUCUCGCGAGAAACGAUGGAUUCCUUAAUUGGGUUAAAACUGAAAGCGUUAAGAUCAUAAGGUGGAGGAGAGGAAUCAGCAGACAUGGAAAUGGUCAUGUUUUGCUGGGCGGAUUUAACAGGUUUUAGUCUAGCUUGUGAAAAAAGAGGGACACCAGAGAAGGAUGAUUUGUGGGUGUCCAAGAAAUUGGUCUUGGUAACAACAGAGGAGGCCAAGGUUGAUGCCAUGGUUGCCAUAGACAAAGCUUGAGAUCUUGAGAGAGGAGUUUUUUUUGAGAAUU
rnacentral:lncRNA from 1 species